rnacentral:lncRNA from 1 species
AUACACUGAUGUGUAUAAAAUGGGUGACUAAUAGGAACAGAUAAAUAAAAAUAAACAUAAAAAAUAUUCUGGGAUCACAGAAUUUGCAGAUGCAAAUUAAAUGCUACUUUAAGAUAACUCCGUUUUCAGUUCAGUCACUAUCGUUCAACACUUCUAUUGCCAUCCGUUUUAUAGAGAAUAUUCUGAGGUGUUAUCAGUAAUUAUUCUCAAGUAUUUACAAAAAACUCCUAUAAAGAGGGUCUUUCAGGAUUAUUUAAUGAACCUGGUUUUCAGCUGUCGGUAACCAACACUUAGACCCCGCCCCAUACGUGGCCUCAGCGCAAGUAGUGGACGUCUGGUCUCCGCGCAGUCGCAGACGCCUCUUCCGGCGAUGUGUGUGCGUGCUCGACGCAGCUACGCCUGCAGCAGAAGCCUGAGUGAGGCCGGCUUUGCUUCGUCUCUUUCCUUCUCCUUGGAUGCCCGGUAGGAUGCUGUACCUGGCUGUUGAGAGGGUGUUAUCCUGGGUGGCGGGUUCCAGGUGUUACGGAGACAAGCACUACCAGCGUUUGAAGACAUGCCCCUGUUUUAAGGAGAGAUGUGUUUGGUAGAACAAUGUUGAAAAACAGCUAUUGGAGCAGAUUCCUGGCGUUAAUGUGGAACAGCCGACAGCUCUGUGGUACUCUAAAGAGAUGGUGGCUGGAGACCUAGUGAGUGGCAUGCUGUCUCAUGUAUUCGGGUGUUCUGGCUUUUGAAGAAAUGCUUCUGGACCAGAGAACAGAGUGAGGCCCGUGGGCACCGGACUUCAGCAUUGGGUGAGGGGCGGCUUCCUCGUCCCGUACAAAUCGUCUUGCUCGCUGGCUGCCGAGGAGGACCGGGGCUCUGGCUCCCACCUGCAGGCAGUGGCGUCUGUCUGGACCUAGCUGGCAGGAGAGGCUGUAUGCAGCUCCAGCGACCGGUGGCAAUAAGGACAGAUGAAAUUUCUUCUCCUGGGCUCUAGCCUCUGUUUUCUGCAUCACUUUUGGACCUUCAUCCUGGCCACUAGGGGACUUUGGCUUUGAUCAUAUUCUAAAGAUCUGGUAAUUCAUUAGAAGGAGCAGUAUUGUUAAGCAGUUACACA